rnacentral:misc_RNA from 1 species
UAAAAGAAAAAUAAAAUAUCAAAAAAGAACCAAAUAUAAAUUUAAAAAUAAUUUUAAUUAAAUAAAUUGCAAAUUUUAAAUUUGCUACUCAUGAUUUUUUUUACCUAUAAAAACUAAUGAGUAAGAGAAAUCUGUAAAAAAUCUAAUGGGAAAUUGUUGCAAGAGUUCAGUUACACCCAUUGUGCGUAGAAAGGCCCAACGACACUUUGAGGAUGGCAUACGUGAAGUUGAUUUUGUUAUAGGUUUUCAUCAUUUCGAUAUACAAUUUGAUCAUGUAAAGAAACGCCACAUAUUCGAAAGAAAUUUAUCUAAAGAAGGUUUGCAAGUGGAAUUGGACUUUACACAAUGUAUACAUUUUAUAAAAAUUCAUGCUCCUCAAGAAGUAUUGUAUAGUUAUGCGGAAAUACUUAAAAUAAAAAUGCCCAUGAAAAAGCUUCCCGGUCAAGAAUUUCUCUAUGACAAUCCUUAUGAAACAUGCAUAAGUUUAGAGCAGAUUUAUGUACAAAAGGAUGACAAAGUACCCACAUGUUCUGAAAGGAUCUGUAAACCAUUAUUCAGAUGUAUUAAAUUAAGUCCCACAAAAUUUCCUCCCAAACAAAAGCGCAUAUAUUCAGAAUUUCAAAUUAAUCAUAAAAGUUUAUACGAUAGCCAACAAUCGAGUUUUUUUGAUGCUGGAACCAGAAACAGUAUUGUUUACUUUAUAUUAGAACGGUUACAUUUUAGCGAUGACGAGAAUACACAGGAUAAUGUAGGCAUUGAAAAGUUGCUAGCAGAAGGAGUCUAUACCUGUGCCUACACUCUACACGAUGAAACAGAUCGAAAUUUAUUACUAAAUGAAUGGGCUACUGUGAAUCGUUUGUUGCACAACCAGCCCUUAGACCACAUUAAGGAGUAUUUUGGUGCUAAAAUAGCCAUAUAUUUUGCUUGGUUGGGUUUCUAUACUAAUAUGUUAAUACCUCUGAGCCUUAUAGGUUUAUUGUAUUUAUUAUUUGGUUUUUUAACUAGAUCAUGGGAUACCGUGAGUAAAGAGAUUUGUGAUCACACGAGAACAAUAAUCAUGUGUCCUUCCUGUGAUCGCCUUUGUGAUUAUUGGGAACUUAAGGAAAUUUGCAUAGCAGCUAAAGUUAACUAUUUAAUUGAUAAUUAUGGCACAGUGGGAUAUGCUUUUAUAACUUCUAUAUGGGCUGUUUUAUUUCUAGAGUUAUGGAAACGUUAUGUAGCCAAAUUAGUUCAUAAAUGGGGUCUUACCGGUUAUACUCAAGAACUGGAGCAUGCGCGUCCGCAAUUUUUGUCUAAAUUGAAAAAGAAUAAAAAGUUGGCAUCACAAAUGAAUCAUUUCUUUGAGCCUGAUGUACCUUUCUGGUUUACGAAGUGUCUACCAAGUAUCACUAAUUACAGUAUAUUACUGUUGUUUAUUUGCAUCUCUCUAAUGGUAACCAUUUCCAUGAUAGUUUAUCGCAUGGCCCAACGUGCAGCCCAAAACAUAGUUGGCACUGAUACUCCGGUAGUCUAUACUGUUUUCUACUUUCCCAUGGCCUCAACUGUUAUAGAACUCAGUAUGAUCACAGCCUUAGCCAAUAUAUACAAUAGCCUGGCCAUUGUAUUAACCAACUGGGAAUAUUGUCGCACACAAAAGGAAUACGAUGAAAGUGUUACCACGAAAAAUUUUAUAUUUCAUUUUAUCAAUUAUUAUUCUUCGCUCUUCUAUAUAGCCUUUAUUAAAGGCAAAUUAGUGGGUUAUCCUGGAAAAUAUAAUAGAUUUUUUGGUUGGCGUCGCGAGGAAUGUCAUCAUGGAGGUUGUUUGUUGGAAUUAAGUAUACAGCUGACAAUUAUAAUGUUGGGUAAACAAGUAUUUUUUGGUAUGCUUGAAAUGUUAAUGCCGCCUUUGAAAAUUUGUUUAAGUUUAAUCAGCUCUAGAAGAGGUGAGUCAUUGCAGGGAAACAAUCAAUGGUGCAAGGAUUAUUAUUUAUUAGCAUGGUCUAAUAAUAUGAUGUAUUUGGAAUAUUUGGAAAUGGUGAUCCAGUAUGGUUUUGUUACCUUAUUUGGUCUGGCCUUUCCUUUGGCUCCCCUAUUUGCCCUAAUCAACAAUCUGUUUGAAACCCGUUUGGAUGCUUAUAAAAUGCUUAAUUACUUACGUAGGCCAGUGGCUCAAAGAGCUUGUGAUAUUGGUGUUUGGUUGGGAUUUCUUAAUAUGAUUACCAAACUUGCGGUGGCUUCUUGUGCUGUCCUAAUUGCCUUUUCCACAAAUUUUAUAACUAAACUUGUAUACAUUUCCAUCAUUAGUAAAGAUGGCACUUUAAAGGGUUAUACUGAUUUUGUUUUAUCACAUUUCAAUACUAAAGACUUUGAAUUACAACCUUUAUUCACUAAUGCAUCGGAGUAUUUAAAUGUGGAAGUGUGUAGAUAUUGGGAUUUUCGUAAUCCUCCUUCGUCGGAGAGACCAUUUGAAAGGCCAAUGAUAUAUUGGCAAAUUUUGGCGGCUAAAUUGGUGUUUAUUGUUUUGUAUCAGAAUUUUAUAGGUUUAAUUCAAAAUAUCAUAUCCUGGUCUAUACCGGAUGUCUCACGAGAUUUACAAAAACGUAUAGAUCGUGAAAACUAUUUGUUACGUGAAUUUAUUAUUGAAUAUGAAAAGUUAUUGGCUUUAGAGCAAAAUUAUGAACUUGAAUGAUUUUUAUUAGAAAGAUUUCAAAUUAAGAUUUUGUGAUAUUCAUUAGAUACUAAUCUUGAUUAAAACAAGAAAAAGCUAACCUGCAAUAAUUGAAUAAUCAUUUAGAAAUAAGCCAAAUUGGACGGCUAGUGUAGCAAUUUGAAUUUAUUCAAAUACGUAACACGUUAACUAAAACUACACUCAGUUAUGCAUGUAAGCAAAAGUCAAUAGUAAAAUCUCUAUAUCAUUUUUCAAAUUAAAAAAACUGCAUGUUCAACAAAGGAAAAAUAUGAUAAAAAUGUCUGA